GCAUUUGUUUCCACGCCUUAAUUCCUAUAUUGUUUUUCUUUAUAUCCCCAGUCAUCUGUCAAUCACAGUAACCUAAUAUCAAACCUAUUAUUACUAUUAACUAGUAAUCAUAUUAUAACGUAUAUUUAGUACAUAUUGUAACAUCCUCCCCGUUUUGCAGUUCCGCCUUCCGUUGUAUCUCUGGCUCUGAUGCCAGUGCUCUUAA